rnacentral:misc_RNA from 1 species
GUCAACUGGAAUUAGUAGUAAACCUUAUGCAGUAAUUAUGUCUGUACUCCUCAGCAACUACUCCCUGUACGGCUACGACGCUGCAGCUCAUUUAACCGAGGAAACAAAAGGUGCUGACAGAACUGGACCUAUUGCCAUUCUUUCUAGCAUUGGCAUCAUCUCAGUUUUUGGAUGGGCUUAUAAUUUAGCUCUUACUUUCAGUAUCAAGGAUCCUAGCUAUUUAUACGAUGGGAACAAUGAGACUGGCGGUGCACUGGUGCCAGCACAGAUAAUUUAUGAUGCAUUUCAUGGGAGGUAUCAUAAUUCAGCAGGAGCUGUAGUUUUCCUCUGUAUCAUCUGGGGAUCUUUCUUCUUUUGUGGACUUUCAGUGACGACUAGUGCUGGCAGAGUGGUUUAUGCUUUAUCAAGAGACAAUGGAAUCCCAUUUU